rnacentral:rRNA from 1 species
CGAGUAGGCGGUAGAGCAAGUCCAAGGUGGAAUCCUAUGGCUCAACCAUAGAAUUGCCUUGGAAACUGUUUUACUUGAGUCAGUGAGGGGAGGGUAGAAUUCCUGGUGUAGCGGUGAAAUGCGUAGAUAUCAGGAGGAAGGCCUGUGGCGAAGGCGGCCCUCUGGCACUGGACUGACGCUGAGGCGCGAAAGCGUGGGGAGCAAACA